GCCGGAGUGAUGGAAUUGGUAGACAUAGGGGACUUAAAAUCCCCCGGGCCGAUAAGCCCGUGCCGGUUCGAGUCCGGCCUCCGGCA
rnacentral:tRNA from 2 species